CACCAUGCCGCCUACAAAGCGGCGUCUUAACCAAGCAUUUCCACACCUUGUGCCUUCCAGAUGCCUUGGACGGCAACUCCCAUGCUGGCUGGGAAUGAUUGGUCUGGCAAAGGAGGUCAUUAAGGUAACCCUUCCACUCUUGGCUCAAGCAAGCCAGCCAGUUCAAGACUCGGGGACUGUGUGGCCACUGAGGGAAACACAGCUCAUCUUAACCUAGGUGAAGGUUCCUCCAUGGUUUAGGCCAGGGGUGUCCACCUUUGGCUGCUUUUGUGGACUUCAACUCCCAGAAUCCCCCAGCCAGCAUGACCCAGAAACUUCAUCCCAUACCCAAUUUAAAAGGAGUCCUGUCUUUUGCUUCAGGUGGUCUUUCUUCCUUCUGUGGAUUCAGGUCAGUAGAGGAGAAGAGAUCAAGCUUUUCAGUUCGCUCUCACAAUCACACGCACACACACACACACACACACACACACACGUCUCUUUGCAGGGCACUCAAAGUGGUUGUGAGUUUCCUUUGCCCAUCAGUAGAUGGAGCUGCUGUUUUGCUCUCUAGGGGAAACACCGGGUUACUCUGGAGUAGCCCCAAAUCAAACAUUUGGUAGCAGCUCUUCGGACUCUCAGGUUUCCUUCAAAGGCACCUGCUUUGGGAGAGCUGCCGUCCCCUGUACUGGCUGCCUGAAGGGGCUAAAGUAAACCAGGGUUUAAAUUUGGGUGGGGGAAGCCCCUCCCCUAGACACUCCUUUGGCUCUCACUCUAGAGGGAAGAACCGUAAUUAAAAGGCGGGUCGGGAAGCCUCUUUCCUGGCUGCAUUUCCAACUAAUUCUGUCAAAAUUUAUUUAUUUAUUUGACUUGUAUGCCACCCCCUCUCCAAAAAGGACUCGGGGCGUCUUGAGCAAAGAGCCUGGCGCUGCUGGGACCCAGCGCAACUGGAAAGGGGUCGCUUUCCCCCCCCCUCUGUAUGUCUUCUGUUUUGUUUCCUUUUUGCAUCCCUGCUCUGGUCUCGGUUCUCUCCCUCCUUCAUCUCCAACCCUCCAGUUCCAUCUUUUUCUUUCUGUCCUCCCUUCUUUCCCUCUUGGAAACUGACAGGCUGCUGGACCAGGAGUCCUGCCUGCAGUGCCUCCCACCACCCGCUGCUGGCAACGGGGGCGGGACCAGUGAGGUGGAGAGAAGAGGGAGGUUGGCUGGCCAGUCAGCUAACUGCCUGUCCACAGCUGGUCCCGUUGCUGCUGCCUGCAGCUCCUUGGCUUGCCAGCAUGGGCUCCUUUGCCCCUGGGGCUGCCGCUCAGGAGCUUCUGCUGCCACAAGAUUUGGAGAGGGCUCAGUUUUUCACUGUCAUCCACUGGAUCCAAGCUGUCACAGCUACUUUGAGCAUCAUGGGAUCGAGCUCAAUAAUUGGCUACACCAUAUUCCAGAAUACCACCAGAUCCCCUGAGGUGCGCCCUCUGGUCUACCUGAGCCUCUCCGAUCUCUUUCUGGGGCUGUGCUGGCUCACGGGGGCCCUUUUCUACAGCAGAGAAGCAUCCCACCCAACUAGAGAAGGCACCAUCUGCUACAACUUGCAAGCUACCGGACAGGUGAAACCUCCGUUGAUCUCCAGCUCCGUGGUGGGGUGGGAAGUGUGUUAUUUUUGAGGUGGGCUUCAAAGGGGGUACAGAAGGUGGACUGGUGGAAUAGCCACAUAUGGAAGAAACAAUCCAGUUGCUUCCACCUGUUGCCAGUUGUUCAACCUUUG
rnacentral:lncRNA from 1 species